AAACAAAGUCAACAUAUACAUAUUUUCAUUUUUACUGUGUAAAAAACAUCUCAGAAUAAUGAAAUGAAUAAUGAAUGUGACUGUAUCACAUUACAGAAUCGCACGUGUAUAUUUUCAAAACUAUCUUGUGAAAUCAGCAAGGUCGCCCUUAAAUAGUUUUUGGAUGGCAGCGUUCUAAAGACCGCUCGCAGCUACUCAUUCGGCCGGAAUUAUGCCAGCAGUUGAGGCACAUUUUUUUAGGCAUCUCCGAAGACAGCCGAUAUCUUCGUUAUUUUUCAACAUUUCUGUAAAAAAAAACCUUAAAAUAUACCUUAGUACGUUCAAAGAAGUUCGAAA